ACUGCCAGGCAUCAAUUUCGUGAAGAAGCCCAUCCAGACGGACGGGCUUUUUUGCGUGUGCGGUAACUGUAAAAUCGUAGGCCUGAUAAGCGCAGCGCCUUAUCCGGCCUACAGGAAUUAUCCCGCCUACGAAUCUGGUGCUAUUGUAUAACCGAUAAGAGCACAACCCACCCAAUCGUUAACGAUGAACUAUCCUUUACACGUGCUUAUAUAAGCAGUGAGGAUUUUCAUUGGCUAUCAAACCUUUUAACUACCAGCAAGACUUUUCCAGCAUUGACUUCCGCCAGCAGCCUGAAUUGUAUCAGGUUGGACGAGGCGAGCAGGGGGUGCUACUGGUUGAACCCUACAAAAGCGAAAUUCUUCCUUUCUGGCGCUAUAAAGAUGAAACAUCGGCGAUGAAAUCCGCAGAACAGAUCUACCAGUUGUUCGAAGCUUACCGGCAGCAGGAUGAUUUCGUUGGUAUGGACAUGGCGCGUAAAUUUAUUCAGAUGGGAUACACCCGCGCCAGGCGAUACGCUAACUAUAAAGGCGGUAAAAAGUAUGCAGAAGACGGCAGCCUGAAUACACGGGGUAAUGAUCCUAUUAAGGCCGCGGCGGCAACGGUUUUCAAAAGUUGGUGGGAUAAAAUUCGUCAGGACGAAGACUAUCUGAAACGGAAACGCCAGCAUCAGGCACGGUGGGGAUAAAAAUUAGCAAACAAAUAAUUAACACUUUAUUUACUUUUUGGUCUCGCGUAAUCUGAAUCUCCAAAAUAAAAGGCCGAUUAAGCCUGGCAACAAGGAGAACAGUAUGGCAGAAAUUAUUCAGCGUAUAGAUAAAAACAACGCUGAGGCUCCGGAGAUGCGGCGACGCAUAUGG
rnacentral:rRNA from 1 species